rnacentral:tRNA from 1 species
CCUGGUGGCUCAGAUGGUAAAGCAUCUGCCCGCAAUGCAGGAGACCUGGGUUCAAUCCCUGGGUCAGGA